CCUAGCCCGUGAACCAUCGAGGUGGGCUUUUUUCGUUGUAAGACUAUCAUGCAUGAACCAUUUAUGGUUAUCAGUUACAACAAUUAUCGUACAUCUUUAUCCUAAAUGGAUCAAUUCUGAUGGUGGUUGAAAAGGUUAGAUGUAAUCAUUUGAUCAGGCUGCAACAACAAAAGAUGAUUGCCGAAUAUCAAGGAUUGUGCACCAUCUAACAUACAAAAAGCUGAUACCGAUCACGGUCGAAAUACAUACCCAAGUGAGGUUAACGCGACUAUAGAAACAUCUUUAAGGGAUAUUAAACCGAAGCUUAUUUACUCACAAUCGUAAAUAAGCAAGUGCAGCAAGCAUUGUGAUAGCGUCAAAAGAAUGGGAGCUAUCCUAUUAGAAUUGCUGCAUGCUAAAGGCAACAGUUGCCCUUUUCGGCACACAUGAGAACCAGCUGAAAAAUGGAGUUCGCGUCAGCGAAACGGUGGACAGAUGAAAGUUUUGACAAGGAGUUGGCAAAAAAAAACUGGGUCACUAAGGCUUUGUAGUUUCUGUGUAGGGAAGACUAAACUACGUAGCAGUCUUGAACGCCAGAUCGGAUUUUCCUGAAGUCAAAAAGAAGUAGAGGAUUAGCAGCGAGGGCCUUUUCAUUAUCGUGGUUUGGACAACCAGCUAAAACGUCGGGUUGCAGCCGUCAUUUAGGACAAGCAGGACUGCCUUCGACUUAGCUGACCUACCAUGACAACUUAACAGGCUCUACUGAUAGAUAUCAAAAAGUUAUUAGCUGGACAACCACUAUUUGCCCUAUUCGCCAACUUCGGCGUCAAGGAAUAUUUUGAAACAUUCGGCAAAGCAGGGAGUUCCUACAGAAAUCCUGAACAUUUUAUUGGCUUAUACUUAAAAAAAAAAAAGGAUAAAUAUCGAUUACGGUGUGGCAGAACUACUGAUUCUUUAAACCACAGGUCUCGUAUAGGAUAAUAACCUUAGCCCCUUAGUACUCUCGGCAUUUUUGAAGGACCUAUCAACGAGAGUCGGAAGACCCAGAAGGCUCGUCAAGCUGAUCUUGUAUACUGACAACUUAGUUACUUAUAAAAGUAACCGUUUCCAUCUAGCAAGCAUCGGCCUAAGAGAACCUGAUCCAGUAAAGUUCGGCCUAGUUGACAUAGACGGCUAUGACGAAGUUUAAAGAGAAAGACGACCUACUUCACAAGACGCGCCUUCUAUUACGGAAUCGCUCCUCGUCUGCUUAAACAGUUUUCGCCACCUGCAGCUAUUUCACGGUUGAAAAUUUUUGUCGCACGUCACGGAGAGCUGCAGGAAGGUAAUAAUAGCAAUCAUUAUCAUAAAGGAUUCCCGUCUGCUCCCAGCCCCUAUUGCCUCCAGCUGUUCGACCUCAACGUAACCCCAAUAGCUGCCUAAAGCAUGUGAUUCAUGUAAGGAGACAUCUUUCUUGCAAACUUAAAGCAACGAAAUUGCUUCAAAGCUGCUUACCUUAAAAAUGUUCUCAAAGUUCACCGCGCGGUGCGAAAUCGGCUAGCUUACCUUUUUGCGCAGAGACUUCAGUUUAUCGAGGGCUUGAAACUAAGUUUCAGCCUACCGUUCAUUCCUGCUUUUAAUAAAUGUUUUGCAAUUUAAAAGGACAAAUACGUGAAAGCAGACGCACGAGCACGAAUAACAAUGAACCUCUCAAAUCACCAUGUUGCAAACAGAUGCGUGGUGUAUGGCGUCAAUCAUAAGCUGUGCGUCCUUCCAAAUUUUCAUGAAUCAAAUGAAAUGUAGAUAUGCAUUAAAUGCGGAAAAUAGGCUGGUAGAAACUGUGCCUUUCAAUGUAACCACAUGAUCUCGCUAGGAAACAUGGCAUCUUAAUCAUCCCGAAAAUAGAUUGUUUCUGAAUGCGCAUAAAUUUUGACUGAAAUAGGCUUAAAUUAUAGACUACAAAAAC